rnacentral:rRNA from 1 species
UGUCUGGGAAACUGCCUGAUGGAGGGGGAUAACUACUGGAAACGGUAGCUAAUACCGCAUAACGUCGCAAGACCAAAGUGGGGGACCUUCGGGCCUCAUGCCAUCAGAUGUGCCCAGAUGGGAUUAGCUAGUAGGUGGGGUAACGGCUCACCUAGGCGACGAUCCCUAGCUGGUCUGAGAGGAUGACCAGCCACACUGGAACUGAGACACGGUCCAGACUCCUACGGGAGGCAGCAGUGGGGAAUAUUGCACAAUGGGCGCAAGCCUGAUGCAGCCAUGCCGCGUGUAUGAAGAAGGCCUUCGGGUUGUAAAGUACUUUCAGCGGGGAGGAAG